rnacentral:rRNA from 1 species
UACGUAGGGGGCUAGCGUUGUCCGGAAUCAUUGGGCGUAAAGCGCGUGUAGGCGGUCCGGUAAGUCCGCUGUGAAAGUCGGGGGUCAACCCUCGGAUGCCGGUGGAUACUGUCGGGCUUGAGUACGGAAGAGGCGAGUGGAAUUCCUGGUGUAGCGGUGAAAUGCGCAGAUAUCAGGAGGAACACCAAUUGCGAAGGCAGCUCGCUGG